rnacentral:tRNA from 3 species
CAAGGCAGUGGAUUUGUGAAU